GAUGAACGCUGGCGGCGUGCCUAAUACAUGCAAGUCGAACGCUGAAGGAGGAGCUUGCUCUUCUGGAUGAGUUGCGAACGGGUGAGUAACGCGUAGGUAACCUGCCUGGUAGCGGGGGAUAACUAUUGGAAACGAUAGCUAAUACCGCAUGACAACAGUUAUUGCAUGAUAACUGUUUAAAAGGGGCAACUGCUCCACUACCAGAUGGACCUGCGUUGUAUUAGCUAGUUGGUGAGGUAACGGCUCACCAAGGCGACGAUACUUAGCCGACCUGGGAAGGUGAUCGGCCACACUGGGACUGAGACACGGCCCAGACUCCUACGGGAGGCAGCAGUAGGGGAUCUUCGGCAAUGGACGGAAGUCUGACCGAGCAACGCCGCGUGAGUGAAGGAGGUUUUCGGGUCGUAAAGCUCUGUUGUGAGAGAAGAACGGGUGUGAGGGUGGAAAGUUCACACUGUGACGGUAUCUUAACAGAAAGGGACGGCUAACUACGUG
rnacentral:rRNA from 1 species